CCCAAAGAAAAAGAAAGUACGAGAACUUUGUGCUACAAAAGAAACAAGAUAGGGCCUAUUGAGAAACCUGAACAUGGCUUCCUCCUCUUGCGCGAGAAUUGUUUAUUCCAUCCUGAUAAUCAUCUCCAUCUUAUCUUUGAUUUCAUCAAAUCAUGAAGAUGAAAACAGAAAAUUAUUAACAUACGGGAAGCCAGCAGCUUCAGAUUUUCCUCAAGCAGGACAGAAAGAGAGCCCCUCCCCUACCUCGACCUGGCUUCAGAUCCCGGGACUGCCCUGAUUGCAAUUCCCGUGAAUGCCCUGAUUGUGAGGGAUUAUAGUUAAACCUAGGUCCACGGUUAGGCUGAGGUGAAGAAGGAGGAUCUUUGUCCGCUUUUGCAGAAUCAAUCAGAGGUGGAUGAGAGAAAUACGGGGUUCUACUUCUGGCAGCAACAUACAAUGAAUCGAAUUUGACAGAUGAGGCCUGAUCAGUUAUUAAUACUUGUCUAUUUUCAUCUGCAUAUGUAAAACGAACAGAACUGGGUUAACAAUCAUGGGGUCAUUUGCGUGAGUUUAAAAAAAAGCGAGUUUUUGCUUAAAAUAAAAAAGUGGAGUAGAUAUGAGAAGUAGGCUAAGACAUAUAAAUUAUUAAAGUGUUUGGAAAAAUAAGUAGAAGACGUGAAACAAAAGUAGUAUUUUCAACCUCUUAUAAGUGUUUCUAGUUUUUUUUACACAAACGAUACGAAUAAUCUGCUUAUGACUAAAUGCCGAGAAGCUGGGUUUAUUAAGCCCAGCCAAACACCGGAUCAUGUUUUGAAUUCACAACUUCAUUAAUUCUCUAAGAAAC